rnacentral:rRNA from 1 species
CAUGCCGCGUGUGUGAAGAAGGCUUUCGGGUUGUAAAGCACUUUCAGAGAGGAAGAGGGCUUGUCGGUAAUACCCGGCAAGAGCGACAUUUCCCACAGAAGAAGCACCGGCUAACUCCGUGCCAGCAGCCGCGGUAAUACGGAGGGGUGCAAGCGUUAAUCGGAAUUACUGGGCGUAAAGCGCGCGUAGGCGGCUUGUCACGCCGGGUGUGAAAGCCCCGGGCUCAACCUGGGAACGGCAUCCGGAACGGGCAGGCUAGAGUGCAGGAGAGGAAGGUAGAAUUCCCGGUGUAGCGGUGAAAUGCGUAGAGAUCGGGAGGAAUACCAGUGGCGAAGGCGGCCUUCUGGACUGACACUGACGCUGAGGUGCGAAAGCGUGGGUAGCAAACAGGAUUAGAUACCCUGGUAGUCCACGCCGUAAACGAUGUCGACUAGCCGUUGGGUCCCUUGAGGACUUAGUGGCGCAGUUAACGCGAUAAGUCGACCGCCUGGGGAGUACGGCCGCAAGGUUAAAACUCAAAUGAAUUGACGGGGGCCCGCACAAGCGGUGGAGCAUGUGGUUUAAUUCGAUGCAACGCGAAGAACCUUACCUACCCUUGACAUCCUGCGAACCCGGAAGAGAUUCCGGGGUGCCUUCUGGGAGCGCAGAGACAGGUGCUGCAUGGCUGUCGUCAG